GCAGAGUGCUCCCCAGUUGUAAUAGUGAUUUCGCUGCUAUCUUUGUUUUAAAAUUCACAUGCUGCUGAUCCUCAAACUUCAUUUUGCGUCCGUUAAUUUUCCUUCGGCUUCCAUUAGUUUUCUCAUACUCUUUUUUUCCCAUGGGUAACUCUAGGUAUCACUUAUCAUUGUGUCCUGCCCGUGGACGCUGUGUUGGCUGAGAUGAGGCAGUGGCGGCGGGGUGCUCUCCUGCUGUCUCCCACAGGCUCACUGCUUAUGACAGCUAAAAACUGGCCAGUUGGGGCACCUCAGGACGUGGACUGAAGCAAGAAACACUGAAUUAUCUGCUUUGGGGGGGCAUUGUUUUGGUGGCAGGAAAAAAAAUCCAUUAAAAGUGGUUUAAGGUGUUUGAUAUUUUCCUUCCCUCCUGGGUAAGGGCGAGAACAGCUCGAGCUGUGUUCAGAUGUGAGUCUCCUGGUAGGAAAGGAAAAGUCCUUUUUUUUUUAAUGGAAAGAUAAAGUAAUAAAGAAUCCUGGCUGUGAUUUAGCCUCAGGGAACUUUGUAUGGCAGAGAAUGAUUCACAGAUCCUGGCUUCAGUGGCUCUGAAUAAACAUAUAGUUCUAAUUGGCAAGAUAUCAAAGGCUUGCUCUUGGAUUACGAGCAGGAAGCUGAAGGUUUCUAGGAUAUUUCUGUUUCUGAAAGUAGGAAAAUUUGGUUUCCUGGAAAACUUACUUUCUUUUUAAACUUGUAUUACAGAAAAUCUCAAAAAUAUUCCAAAUUGGAGAGCGUAGUCUUCCAUCCCCAGUGUCUAUGUUAUCAACUCAUGGUCAAUAUUAUCUCAUCUCCGUUCCACCUAACCCCCCCCAGCCAAUUAUUUUAAAGCAAAUCUAAGACCAUGCAAUUUCAUCUGUAAAUAUUUCAGUUUGUAUCUAUAAAGGUAAGAACUCUAAAAACAAAAGCAUAUUUGGAGUUCCCGUCAUGGCGCAGUGGUUAACAAUCCAACUAGGAACCAUGAGGGAUCGAACCCUCAUCCUCAUGGAUCCUAGUCGGGUUCAUUAGCCAUCGAGCCAUGACGGGGCUCCCUAUAUUUGAUUAAUAUAUCUCUUAGGUAGGGUGACCGUGUAGUGUAUUAUCUAAUCAACCUGGAAACCUAAUAAUGAAAGAGAAUUCUGUUAACAGUUAUACUGGGACAGUAGGCAUACACCUGGGUUGUCAGGGAUACAUGAGGAGGUCUGCUCACUCUACUUUUAAGUUUCUUUUAAUCUAGAUUUUCCCACUCUCUUUUUUUUUUUUUAUUUCCAUCUGGCAUUUCCUUUGUUGAAGAAACUGGGUUAUUUGUCCUUGUCGGCUUUCCCACAUUCUGGAUUCUGCUGAUUACCGAGAGGUUGUCUCACAUGUUCUUAGGAUCUCUGUUUCCUGUAAACCGGGGGCCUGAGCUCACUCUGGUUUAAUUUGAGGGCACGGAGACGAGUAUUAAUAGUUGGUGCAGUGCACAGCGAUUAGGAGAGAAGUAAUGGCAAGUCUCUCCCUUGUUUUGAUAGUGGUGGCCCUUGAUAAUUCUCAUUUAGAUCCGUUAUUUUGUUAAGAGUUUGCAAAAAAGGUGAUAUUCCCAUUUCUUUUUCAUUUAUUAGCUGCAAAAUUUACUUGAAAGGAAUUUCCCUCUUGUUGUCUAUUUGUCACCCUGAGGUACAGUUAGACACUCUUAACUUUUCUUUUCUCAUUUUUUUAAAGUUUUAUUGAAGUAUAAUUGAUUUACAGUGUUGUGAGAAUUUCUUUUUCUUUUUCUUUUUUUUUCCUUUUUUUAGGGCUGCACCUGCAGCAUAUGAAGGUUCCCAGGCUAGGGGUCAAAUUGGAGCUACAGCUGCCAGCUGAUGCCACAGCCACAGCAACACAGGAUCCGAGCCGGGCCUACGACCUACACCACAGCUCACGGCAACAUCAGAUCAAACCUGAGCGAGGCCAGGGAUCAAACCUGCAACCUCAUGGUUGCUAUUCAGAUUUGUUUCUGCUGCGCCACAGUGAGAACUCCGAGUGUUUCUGUUAUACAACAAAGUGAUUCAGUUGUACGUAUACACAUCCAUUUUUUUCCAGAUUCUUUUCCCGUAUAGAUUAUCACACACAGACAGAAAUCUGUGUGAUAAAACUGAUGAAAAAAUUAUCAUAAUUUUGGGUAGAGAUUCCUAUGCUGUACAGUAGGUCCCCAUUGACCAGUCAUCCCAUGUAGCGCCGUGUGCACAUGCCAAUCCUGAACCCCCAGUGCAUCCCCCCCCAUCCUGUCCCUUUUGGUAACAGGAAGUUCAUUUUUAAAGUCUGUGAGUCUCUUUCUGUUCUGCAAAUAAGUUCAUUUGUAUCCUUUUCUAAGAUUCCACAUAUAAAUGAUAUCAUAUGAUGUAGGUACCCUCGCUCCUGAGUCAACUUAUUUAUAGACUCUUUCCUGGACCUGUAUUUUAACCUGAGGCCUGAGUGUUCCAGUGACCAGUUCUUGCUCAGUGUUUCAUAACUUCUGCUUUGUAGUGAAGAGUGUUUGGGCAACAGGAGAUUUCUGUCUGUGGGAAGGCCCUUGAGGCUUGCCAUUUUAGUAGCUGCUGACUGAAGGCUAAGCUAAGAAAAACCUUGACUUCUUCUUCUGGCUCCUAGUAGGCCGGUGACUACAGCUCUGAUUGGACCCCUAGCCUGGGAACCUCCAUAUGCCAUGGGUGGGGCCCUAAAAAGACCAAAAAAAGAGAAUACUUUAAUAUGACUUUUUUAAGUUAGCUACUCUGCAAAACCACUGGCAGAAAUUCAAAAGCUUGAUAAUACAUUCUGUUGACAAGGCAGUGAGCAAACAGAUAAUCUCUUACAGUAUGGGCGGAAAUACAGAAUAAGGUAACUACUAUGAAGGGAGAUCUGAUAAAACGACAUGUGCAUUUAUUCUCUGACUCAGCAUCCUCAAAUCUAGGAAUUUAUCCUGGAGAUUCACCAUGAAAAUUAAGGGUCUAUGCCAAGGAUCACUGAAAAUUAUUUGUGUCUCUGACUCUUCUGUUAAGCGUGCAAGUUCCUCAACAGAAGGACUCUCUAAGCCCCAACGUAUUUUAUUUAUUUUUGGGGGGCUGCACCCACAGCACAUGGAAAUUCCCAGGUUAGGGGUCGAAUCAGGGCUGCAGCCUACACCACAGCCACAGUAACAUGGGAUCUGAGCCGCAUCUGCGACCUACACCACAGCUCACUGCAACACCAGAUCCUUAACCCACUGAGCAAGGCCAGGGAUCAAUCCUGAAUCCUAACGGGUACUAGUUGGUUUUUUUUUUUUUCUUUUAGGGCAGCACCUGCGGCAUAUGGAAGUUAUAAUACAUAUUUAAAACAGGGAAGUUAGUGUUGAAAAAUACCGUCAUCUAAUUCACAAACUUACGUUUUCGCCAAAUGUCCCAGUGAUGUCUUUUAUAUUCAAUCCAGGAUCACGUUAUAUUUUUACUAUUUCUUUUGGUUCUUCAAUUUGAAACAAUUCCAUAGUUUUUUUUGUUUGUUGGUUUUUUUGGGUUUUUUUUGCCACAGCCAUGACAUGCGGAAGUUCCCGGGUCAGGGAUCAAACCUGUGCCACAGCAAUAACCCAAGCCACUGCAUAUGGAAGUUCCCAGGCUAGGGGUCGAAUCGGAGCUGUAGCCACCGGCCACAGCCACAGCCACAGCAAAGCAGAAUCUGAGCUGUGUCUGCAGCCACAGCCACAGCAAAGCAGAAUCUGAGCUGUGUCUGCGACCUACACCACAGCUCUCGGCAAUGCUGGAUCACUGAACGAUGCGAGGAAUUGAACCGGCGUCCUCAUGGGUAAUAGAUUCGUUUCUGCUGAGCCACAGUGGAAACUCCUAACCUGUUUUCAAAUUCAUUCCUGACAUGAUAGCCCACCCCCUGGGAUACUUGAGUGUGUGCUUACCGCAGAGACUUUUGCAUGGUUAACCUGGUGCAGCACGAGAGAACUCCAGCUCUGCAUUGUCUCAGGUUUUAUGACCAUGACCCUUUUGAAAAUUAGAGGCCAGCGUUCACUGGUGACCUAGUGGGUUAAGGAUCUGGUGUUGUCACUGUUGUGGUUUGGGUCACUGCUGUGGCGAAAGUUCAGUUUCUGGCCUGGGAACUUGUGCACGCCAUGGGCAUGGCCAAAAAAAAUCUUUAUAAAAAGGAAAAUUACAGGCCAAUUAUUUGAGAGAAUGUCCCUUAAUUUUGUCAGGUAUUUCCUCAGGAUUAGAUUUGGGUUUUGCAUUGCUCGAGAGGAAAAACUUCCUUUCCUCUCUUAAUUCAGUGCCUGGGGUGUGCGACAAAAGACACAUCAACAAGAGAAAAGGCAUACAGUUUUUAUUAAUAUUUACAUAUGUGGGAGUUCCCAGAAAAGAAGUGAAACUCAGAGAAGUGGCUAGACUUGGAAGCUUACGUAUAUAUAAGCUUUCCCUUUGCAAAGGAAAGAAGGUUUGAGCUUCAAGGGAUGGUAAAUCGUGGGUAAGUAACUGGGAAAUAGUGGGGGAACUCGUGGAAGAUACGGGCUUAUGCACAUGCUUGGUCGCUCCUCCCUGCCUGGUAGAGAAGGAUACCUUCCUCCAAGGGAAGUCUGCCACGUUUUCGGCAGGUGGAGGAGGGCGGAGAACUCUUCGGUUACCUUCAGCUUAAAAUAAUUCCUUGCCACAGUAGCACUUGGGGAGGCACCUUCUGAUCCUCUUCAGCAUCUUUGGGAGGAAUAUUACCAUUCCUGAGAAAGGAUGGUGGUUUUUCUCUCAUGCGUCCUGUCAGGUGAUGCAGGCUUUCGUUUUGUCUCGUUGUUGUAAAGUUCACUUUGAUCACUUGAGUAAGGUGUGUCUGCUAGGUUUCUCUGUUUUAAAGUUACUCUUUCUGCCUUUGUAAUUAACGAGUAUUUUGUAGGAAGGGUCUUGAAAUUACUAACUACCCCAUUCCUCAUCAGAUUUUAACCCGCUGUUUUUAGCAUCCGUUUAUGUUUCUUGUCUGAAUUAUUAUACUGUUCUGGUUGCCAAAUAAUAUUUCUCUAAUUCCAUUAUUCCACAUUCAUCCGUUGAAAUUGCACUGUAAGGAAAAGCUUUCUCCUCUCCCUGUUAUUUUUUCACUUGUUUUGUCAUAUCUGCAUGAAUUCAGUGGGCUCUUAUUUUAUUUAAUGGGUGAUAAUCUAUUCAUAUCACGCAUGUUUUGGUGCUUGCACUGGACCAUAUUUAUUUAGUCAAGGGGAGUUUCUUCAGGCUGACUUAUUUGUCUUUUUGUCAUACCGCCGUCAUUCGUCGGGAAUUUCCUCUUGCCAGUCGAGGUGAUCCUGGGUGGCUUACUUCGUGCUCUCCCCGCCCGAGCCCUUGGAUUAGUUAUGGUGUUUAAAAGCCAGGAUAAGGAUGAUGGGCGCGGUUGCUGAUAGUUGGGUUCUCUGUUCCCAGAGAAUGUGUGCGUAUAACUUGCACAUAGCUUUUUAAAUUUCUCAACCUCUGUAUAUUGAAAACUGUAAGUUGACCUUGACAUCUCUGCUUCCCCUUCCUUUUUUCCACCUCCACAUUUGCAGCUCUUCUCUUUGAUAAUGAGAAUCCUGACUCCGGUUACUCUCUAUAUACUUAUUUGAUAAAGUCUUCAUCUGUAGCCAGUCUCAUUUUGCAAGCACUGUAUAUAUGCGCUCCUCAUUUUGCUGGGUCUCUGACAUCCUAUGCCAAACGGAUACCACUGUUCUCUGCAAGCAACCUUCUUACCUUCAUCAGUCUGUGACAUCCAUGCCAGGCACCAUCCCCACAACCCACAACCACUUGGCCAUCAUCAUAAUCUGAUGGGUUCGAGACUGAAUUAUUCAGGAAGGAAGGCGAGAAGGGAGGAUUCUUGGGUCCACUGAGUACAUCAGAUGGGUUUUCUGCAUCUGUGGAGUUGAUUAUAUAGUUUCUGUCCUUGAUUCUGUUAAAACAAUAUAACAUACUGCUUUUUAAACUAACUUUGCAUUGGCUAUAUCAUACAUAUAUUUUUUUUUCUUUCCCUUUCCUUCUGUUUUUCUUGUCUCUUUUUAAAUGGCUUUUAAACUUUUUAAUUUUAAUUUUUAACCAUGGCUAAAUAUACUUUAGUUGCUUUUAAGUGUACAGUUCUGUGGCAUUAAGCUCCUCCACAUUGUCAUGCACCGUCCCUCCCAUCCACUUCCAGAAUGGUUUCAUCUUCCCAGACUGAAACUCUGCGCCCAUCAAACACUUUAACUCUCCAUUUCUUCUUCUCACAAGCCCUGGCAGCCACCACUCUACUUUCCUUCUCUGUGAAUGUGAGUACGGCAGGCACCUCGUUUAGGCGGAAUUGUAAAACACUUGUCCUUUUGUGACUCGCUUACUUCACUCAGCAUACUGUCUUUAAGGUUCAAAUUUCCUCCCUCUUUUGGAGUUCCUGUCAUGCAGCAGAAAAGAAUCCGACUAGGAACCACGAGGUUGUGGGUUUGAUCCCUGGCCUCGCUCAGUGGGUUAACCUUGCCGUGAGCUGUGAUGUAGGUCGCAGAGGCGGCAUGGAUCCCGCAUUGCUGUGGCUGUGCUGUAGGCCAGCAGAUGGUGGCUGUAGCUCCGAUUAGACCCCUAGCCUGGGAACUUCUGUAUGCCGCAGGUGCAGCCCUAAAAAGCAAAAAAAAAAA
rnacentral:lncRNA from 1 species